rnacentral:rRNA from 1 species
CAGUAGCCACGGUAAUACGUAGGGUCCGAGCGUUGUCCGGAAUUACUGGGCGUAAAGAGCUCGUAGGUGGUUUGUCGCGUUGUUCGUGAAAACUCACAGCUUAACUGUGGGCGUGCGGGCGAUACGGGCAGACUAGAGUACUGCAGGGGAGACUGGAAUUCCUGGUGUAGCGGUGGAAUGCGCAGAUAUCAGGAGGAACACCGGUGGCGAAGGCGGGUCUCUGGGCAGUAACUGACGCUGAGGAGCGAAAGCGUGGGGAGCGAACAGGAUUAGAUACCCCGGUAGUCCCUGUCUCUUAUAC